UACGUAGGGUGCGAGCGUUGUCCGGAAUUACUGGGCGUAAAGAGCUCGUAGGUGGUUUGUCGCGUUGUUCGUGAAAACUCACAGCUCAACUGUGGGCGUGCGGGCGAUACGGGCAGACUGGAGUACUGCAGGGGAGACUGGAAUUCCUGGUGUAGCGGUGGAAUGCGUAGAUAUCAAGCGGAACACCGGUGGCGAAGGCGGCCUUCUGGACAGUGACUGACGCUGAGACGCGAAAGCGUGGGGAGCAAACAGG
rnacentral:rRNA from 1 species